CGGGGCGUAGCGCAGCCCGGCAAGCGCGUCUGCUUUGGGAGCAGAAGGUCGGAGGUUCAAAUCCUCUCGCCCCGA
rnacentral:tRNA from 1 species